rnacentral:rRNA from 1 species
GACGAACGCUGGCGGCGUGCUUAACACAUGCAAGUCGAACGGAAAGGCCCUGCUUUUGUGGGGUGCUCGAGUGGCGAACGGGUGAGUAACACGUGAGUAACCUGCCCUUGACUUUGGGAUAACUUCAGGAAACUGGGGCUAAUACCGGAUAGGAGCUCCUGCUGCAUGGUGGGGGUUGGAAAGUUUCGGCGGUUGGGGAUGGACUCGCGGCUUAUCAGCUUGUUGGUGGGGUAGUGGCUUACCAAGGCUUUGACGGGUAGCCGGCCUGAGAGGGUGACCGGCCACAUUGGGACUGCGAUACGGACCAGACUCCUACGGUGGGCAGCAGGGGGGAAUAUUGCACAAUGGGCGGAAGCCUGAUGCAGCAACGCCGCGUGCGGGAUGACGGCCUUCGGGUUGUAAACCGCUUUCGCCUGUGACGAAGCGUGAGUGACGGUAAUGGGUAAAGAAGCACCGGCUAACUACGUG